GGUAGUCGUAGUUAACACCUAGCACUUAUUUGACGUUACCUACAGAAGAAGCACCGGCUAACUCCGUGCCAGCAGCCGCGGUAAUACGGAGGGUGCGAGCGUUAAUCGGAAUUACUGGGCGUAAAGCGCAUGCAGGCGGCCUGUUAAGUCAGAUGUGAAAGACCCGGGGCGUUAACCUCGGAAUUGCAUUUGAAACUGGCAGGCUAGAGUCUUGUAGAGGGGGGUAGGAAGUUUCAGGUGUAGCGGUGAAAUGCGUAGAGAUCUGAAGGAAUACCAGUGGCGAAGGCGGCCCCCUCGGACAAAGACUGACGCUCAGAUGCGAAAGCGUGGGGAGCAAACAGGAUUAGAUACCCCUGGUAG
rnacentral:rRNA from 1 species